rnacentral:rRNA from 1 species
CACGUAGGCGGAUUAUUAAGUCGGGGGUGAAAUCCCGAGGCUCAACCUCGGAACUGCCUUCGAUACUGGUAAUCUUCGAGUCCGGGAGAGGUGAGUGGAACUCCGAGUGUAGAGGUGAAAUUCGUAGAUAUCAAGCGGAACACCGGUGGCGAAGGCGGCCUUCUGGACAGUGACUGACGCUGAGACCCGAAAGCGUGGGGAGCAAACA